GACGAACCGUGCGAACGUUAUUCGGAAUCACUGGGCUUAAAGCGCGUGUAGGCGGGUGGGUACGUCGGCCACUGAAAGCCCCCGGCUCAACCGGGGAAGGGGUGCCGAAACGGCCGGCCUGGAGGGGCGUAGGGGGACCUGGAACUUCCGGUGGAGCGGUGAAAUGCGUUGAGAUCGGAAGGAACGCCCGUGGCGAAAGCGAGGUCCUGGACGCCAACUGACGCUGAGACGCGAAAGCCAGGGGAGCGAACGGG
rnacentral:rRNA from 1 species